GCUUAGCCCUAAACCUAGAUAGUUAACCAAACAAAAUUAUCCGCCAGAGAACUACUAGCAACAGCUUAAAACUCAAAGGACUUGGCGGUGCUUUACAUCCCUCUAGAGGAGCCUGUUCUAUAAUCGAUAAACCCCGAUACACCUCACCAUCUCUUGCUAAUUCAGCCUAUAUACCGCCAUCUUCAGCAAACCCUAAAAAGGAAUAAAAGUAAGCACAAGUAUCUUAACACAAAAAAGUAGGUCAAGGUGUAGCCCAUGAGAUGGGAAGUAAUGGGCUACAUUUUCUAAAACUAGAACAUCCACGAAAAUCCUUAUGAAACUAAGUAUUAAAGGAGGAUUUAGUAGUAAAUUUGAGAAUAGAGAGCUCAAUUGAAUCGGGCCA
rnacentral:rRNA from 1 species